rnacentral:rRNA from 1 species
GAGUCUGCAACUCGACUCCACGAAGCUGGAUUCGCUAGUAAUCGCGCAUCAGCCAUGGCGCGGUGAAUACCGUUCCCGGGCCUUGUACACACCGCCCGUCAAGCCAUGAAAGCCGGGGGUGCCUGAAGUCCGUGACCGCGAGGGUCGGCCUAGGGUAAAACUGGUGAUUGGGGCUAAGUCGUAACAAGGUAUC